GAAUGAGUGACUAUUAACCAACCAACCCAGUCAUUUCAUUUCGCCUUCACUCUCUACCCGUUACAGUUUUUCUAACUUUCUUUCUUUAGAUUGAGUAACUUCAAUAAUGCAAUGCAACUAAAGAUUAUUACUUACAACUUCUAUGCUCAAAUAAUUGUUGCAAUGCAAUUAAACACUCACUCAUGCGUGUCCCCGUGAGCCUAAUCCAGUUUGUAGAGACAUUGCAUUAUAUAUAUAGAGGUUGGGGUUCAAACUCAAACACUCUACUUAUUCACCUUAAAAAAAAUGAAUUUAAGUCAAUUGGCUACCUGACUAAAAAAAAACGCACUCAUAUGUUUUAUUUCAUAAGCUGGUUUUAGACCUUUUUAUCUGAAAAACUUAUCUCACAUUGUAGUUGAUAUGUAUGGUUAGACCUUUUGUGAGGUUUGUGUGUCCCCUAGUCUAUCACUCUCUCACAGUUAAACUACUUUGUUUUUGAGAGGUUUGUAUACCUUACUUAAAAACAACUAUCAUUCUCUCAUCAAUUUCAUCAUUAAGCUAUUAAAAUUAACUAAAAAGUACCUAAACUAUUCUCACAUAUAACUAUUAGCCCCUUGGUUGACAAAGUUAAUUUUUUUUAUGAUGGUUUAUGGACUAAAUUGAUAUAUUUUUUAUAGUUUAAAGAUCUUCUAGUUGAUUUUAAUAACUCGAAGGCUAUAUAUGUGAAAAAAUUGAUAGUUUAAGGAACAAGUUGAUUGUUUAUUCUUAAUUUGAUUGAAGUCUACUGGCACACAAAUUUACAAGGAUACGGUGGAUAUGGGGAAGUUAUACCUGAUAUCCCUACAUUUAAUCUUUUACCCCCUACAAAUUGUUGAAAAUGCCAAAUUUACCUUUUAUCAUUUCACUUCACCCUGCAUAAAAUUUUAGCCAACAAUACACUUCCGAGAUUUAAUACUCCAAUUUUCGGAAUAUUCAUAUCAAAUUUUUAUGGUAGAUUAAUUUGUAAACCGGAACAAUUGAGUAAAGAAUUAUUAUCAGAAUUCUUUCUUCUUUCAUCGAGGUUUGAGAGACAAUGAAAGAUGGAAAAUAGAAUACAACAACCUGUAUUAGUUAAUAUAAAAUUAAGUGCAAAGCAAAGAUCAUGAUACCAAACCUCAUCAAUUCUUCUUCCAAUUCAUUUUAUUUAGAUCUAAAAAAAUGAAAGGCCGUAUAUUUCUGGAGUAGAAUUUUAGAUGUAAGGUUGGGAAAUCAAAAAACCUGGCUAAAACUGCAGAAACCUGUUUUCUGAAUUCUUUCUAAAAAAACAGUGUAAAAAAAUGCUUGUCUCUUUAUCUGUAGAUCUAAAAAAAAAUCAUUUCUAAUUCAUCUUGUUUGGAAAUAUGAAUACGAAAAGUUGUAUAUUUUAAUUUUUUUUAUUUUUACAAAAUACCGUUGUUGGGAAUGUGAAUAAUCUAAGAUUAAAUGUAGGGGUGGUAAAAGAUUAAAUGUAGGGGUAUAUGGUAUAAUAUCCUGGAUAUGGUAGGCUUAUAUUACUUAGAACCCAAAUCAUGUUACUUAGGCCCGUCAUCAUGGACUUUUUUCAUGUGGUUUCCAUGCAGGCUAGUUGAAUAUUGCUCUUUAGGCAUCCAUGUUUUGCUCUCAGACAUUUUGAAAUUAUUAUUUUACCUCAAUGAAAAUUAAUUACCAUUUGUUGAUGAACGAUGGUUAGUUUUCAUUCUCUUAUGAACAGUAGUUAAUUGUCGUUCUAGGGCAUUUUAUGUGGUUCAGAUUGCGCAGACAGUUUUUGUGGUCCACGAUACAUAAAAACUUCUAUAAAUUGGUGUGUUUGGUUCAUUUGAAACCACACCACAAAAUCAUGAAUAUUUAUCUAGUAGAUCCGAACACCAAAUUAGCGCAGUUAACUACAACGGGGAAAACUCAAUAUGUUUAGGGUUCAGGUUAAUGCUAUAUCGGUUGACUUGAAGGAACAUAGUUGGACCAAAUUAACAGUCGACUCAACCACAAAGACACAAGAAAGGUGGAAAGUGUUGAGUAUCGUCAUCCAUUCGUUUGACUCAUAUGAAAGCGUCAAGUUCACCCAUAUGAAGUUCAAGAACAACGACAUCGUGAGAACCAUCAAGUUAGACGCUUCAUUGGUCAAAUAUUUUUUAGAUGUUCCGGAAAGUUUGAUUCAGAUUAGGACCUUCAAAGAAAACAGGACUUGCAUGGAUAGACCAAAAGAAAUAAGUAUGUCUUAUUCGUGAUUUUGUAUGUGUUUUAUUAUGUUGUUAAAUUAUGUUAGUGUAUUGUGUUUUAUUAUGUUUAAUGUAUGUUUUUGUUAACUUAUGUCAUUGAAAUUAUGUUAAUGUAUUGUAUUUUAUUAUGUUUAAUGUAUGUUCUUCUGAGCUUUCCUUUGUAACUAAUGAUUAACUACAGUUUCUUCUGAAAACAACAAUUAACUAUUGUUCCUAGAAUGGGAGUUAACUCUUGUUUAACAACGAAAAAUAAUUAAUUAUUAUUUCGGAUAAAAUAGUCAAUUUGAGACGUGUUAAAACAAAGUAUGAGUGUCUAACGAACAAUUUUCAAGAUAGUUUAGUCCUUUUUGGGUUCUACCUUUUUUUUUUAUGAGUAACUUCUACACCUAGUUUCCAUUCUUUUUUGUGUUAAUUGUCCGAUUUCUUAGCAUGUGCGUAACUCACGCAGCGUGACUUAAGUCACACAUGUGUAAAAACUAAGUCAUGUAUUUUUUACACUUGCGCUAAUUAACUAACGCAAGGGUAUUUUCGGCAACACUGCAGGGCGCGAGUGUUUUGUGUUGGGUGAAGAGCAGAAUUCUAAAGUCAUAUAUAUAUAUUAUGGUUUUAAAAGGGUAAUUGCUAAAUCAGAUUCAUAGGAAGCAACUAAGUUAAUAUUGAAAGGGCAUGGUAAAGGGCACCCUUGUUCUCAUAUCAUUUCUCAUAUUUCUAAUUUUCUUGUCUAAUUCAUGAGUUACAAGUUUCAACGUGUCUAACGUGAAGCCAACAAAGUCGUGAAUGCUUUUGCAAGGAAUAUCCAACUUCAAAGUAUUAGCGCAGCUUUAACUUGAUGAACAAACUUAGAGUUUUCUAGGGUUUUAAUUUGAUUUUGUUGAAAUAGAGAGAGAAUGAGAAGAAUGGGUGAAUGAGGAGACAAGAAGUAUUAAAGUUGUGAUUUCAUUUAUAUGUAAAAAUACACAUGAAAGUAGCUUAUAUACAUGGUUUUUUGCUAGGUUACUUGAAGUACAAGUCAUAUAACAAACCCUAAAUACCUUAAGCUAAAAUCUAGUAAAUUUGUAACAAACUAUUAACAAACUAAACUAACUAGAUUUCUAAUGUGAUUAACCAAACAAGCUUGAUUAGAUCACUAACAAACUUGAAUUAUCAACUAACACAAAGUUGCGAUAAUAUAAAAAUAAUAUCAGAACUAGUCUCUCUUCAAAUGAAUGAUGCAUCACAACUUAUCUUUCUCCUUUGAUGGAAAAAUUUGUUCUAAUACCAAUUAUUGAAGGAAAAAAAUCAAUAAAAAAUCUUUAAACAAGCGGGAACACAACCACAAAAUAAGUAAAAGAGAUAAAAACAAAUCACAAGCCUAUUUUUCGAUACUUCACAGUUCACACCUUCAUUCAUAAUAUCUUAACAAAAUAUUUGUUACAAAAAUAUGCAUAGUUUUACUAGGAAUUGCAAACCCUCUUGUACAAUUAUAAUUUUUGCACAGAAAUAUUGCAAACUAAUCUUUCUCAAUUACAAUUUUUGUAAGAAAAACUACAAACUCUUUCAUGACACACAACUACCCAACCUCUUUUUUUUUUUUUUUUUUUUUCAUUACUCGAUGUGCGAUGUGAAAGAAUAUCAAUUUUAGAGAACAAAUGGCUAUAAUUUAUAGGUGGCCUUUAUGAUUUUUGGCACAAAUUUUCAUACUGUGAAAUGUGAAUAGAUGCAUGUGCAGAGAUGGAGUUCAUAAUUUAAAUCUUACGUUAAAAAUAAAACAAGUUUUUAAUGUUAUAGUUUAAAAAUAAAAAAUUGUUUCUUAUAUACAAUAUUUUUAUGAAUAUUUACAUAGUUCUUAAAAAAAUUAAUAAUGAAUGGUAUAUUCGUGUCCUGUAUGACACAAUGAAACAUAUGCACAUGAUUAAAUUAUACAUUAAGCCUAAUCAUAUGAUCUGAAAAGAUUUUCUCUACAUUUCGUCGAGCUAGCAAGGUAGAUAGAUGUCAACUAAUAAGUUGAUGAAAUCGGCUAAAAAAGAUUCCCAGUUGAAGUUUAUUAUUUUUUUGGUGCAACCCAGUUGAAGAUUUUAUUAACUUUGAUGAUGGCUCUGAACUACCAAGUUUUCUAGAACUUGAACAAGUCCUUAAUUUUAGUUGAAUUGCAAUACUAUGUCUAUAUGUAUAGUAUACCGUUUCUGGUUUCAUAGUCUGUUAAUUUUAAGGAAUUUUUUCAAGUGGCUCAAAAAAAACAUAUACAGUACAUUCUUUAGUUUUAUUUACAUCGUUUUCAAUCUCUUUCGCUUUUUUAAAUAUUUACGCAGAAAACAUUUUUUUUUUUUUUUCAAUCAGAAAGAGGCAAAAUUAAGAUUUGCAUUGGUUUUAGUCAUCACCUACUACAUUAAAUUACUAUUUGUGGAAAAUAUUGUUUAUAGCGUGAAACUGUGCUCUGACUGGCUCACAUGCAAACGGACAGUGGCAAUAUUGUUUAAGGAAGUAUUAAUCUUUUUUUUUUUUUUUUUUUUGACAGAAACCAUAUAGUAUUAAUCUAUUAUUACUACUAUAUAUGCAUAAAAAAGGACCAAUUAACCGACAUGCUUUGAGUUAUUUUGUGUUUUUUUUUUUUAUUGUUUCUGAAAAAAUCAACCAACAUGCUUCUUUUUUUGCGCUAACUAAAACUAAUUUAUUUAUGCUACUAAUCAAUUUAUUAAGACUAAAACUUGAGUACAAGUUAGUCUUUUUUUUUGUAGUUGGUGACCUACAAGUGGUACUCUUGUACUCAUUAUACUCAAAGUCAAGGGUACAUGCGUAUGUGUUAUGCUGAAUUCGAAAAUUCAUAGUCAAGACCCAGCAAUAUCAAGAUAUAUACACACAUGUCCUAAAGUGCAUUCUGGAGAAUAAGAACUACAAGUCUAAAGUUUUUCUUUUUGUUAGUAAAGUUAUUUUAGUCCAAGUUUAGACUAUACAACGCUGACUAUGAAAUAUGAAAGGAAAAAAAAACCUUCAAUUUUUGUCAAAAAAAUAAAUUCCAUUGUCUCUAACUAAUUAUUGAAAUUUUAAACAUGUGUUUGGUCUAACGGUAUGGUAGAAAAAAUCACGGCAAAAAUUCACGGUAACUACAAAAUCUAAAAAUUUGUAAUUUCUUUGAAAUUUGAGUUUGUAACUUCGAACGUCAAAUAAUCGUUCAUUAAGUCUCUAAAGCUCACAUGAUCAGACCAGCUUUGAUUGCAAAAUAUGACCAACUAAUUACUAAUAAACAUUUAAUUUUGUUAGCAGAUCAAUUUAUCUGUUUAAUGUUAAAAUAAAUCUGAUCCAAUUCAAUACUUUUGGACAUAGAUUGAAAUGGUUUCCCCCCCCCCCCCCCCCCCUUUUUUUUUUUUUUUUUUGUAAACUAGGUAUCCUCCGCGCGCAACUGCGGAGACUAAUCCCUCGAGCAUUGUGAGACCCAAAUGGACGGCAGACUCUCCCUAAGAGUUUUAACGCUGCUGGAGGUAUUGUAAAUAAUAUUUUGUGUUAUAUUAUUUUUAAGAGUGUAUAUUUCUAUAUAAAAAGAGUGAGUUUUGCCUUCAACCUCGAGGUAAUCGGUUUGAGACCUAGGCACUGAGAACAUGAGUUUUUUCGAUUAGCUCUUUAAAAAAUUAUUUAUAGGAGGAAUAAUUGUUUUUAUGGAAUUUGUCGUGUAAUAAAAAUCUAAAUCGUCUAGUCUACAAUUUUGUAUAGUCUUCAAUUAUGUUGUGAAUUCGGGCUUUGAAACUUCACACCAAUCCAAACUAUGAUGUGUGGAGAAAGUAUCAAUGGCAACCAACAACCAAAUUAACCAUAAGCAAUAACAAUAAUAUAUACCAAGUCUAUAAACCAAGUGCAUAGCAAAAUCACAAUCCAACCAAAUAAUAAACAAGAUAAAAGAGUAAAGAAAAAUAGACAACAACACCAAGAGAUUGUUCACCCAGUUCGGUCCAACCAUGACCUACUCUGGAGGAGAGAUUGAUCUCUUCAAUCCACUAUCAAUGAGUUCUUACAAAGAGAUACAAAUGAGUUACAAGAAAUUAGCUUCAACAAGCUCACAAAAAACAACCCUAAUUUCUACCAAUUUUCCCAAUCUCACCAAUGAACAAGACACUCAUGAUUUUUACUCUCCCAAGGUGUUUACAAUUGUUUCACAACUCUAGAAUCUAACCCCCAAAAGAGAACCAACUCUUAGCCUUUGAUUUCACUUAGGAUCUUCUCUUUUGGUUUCACAAGACUCACCCAAGUUGCUCGCAAAUGACUCUCCACUCAUGUGUUUCCCAACCCCAUGAAUCUUCUCCAAAAGGCACCAACCCUUUUCACAAGAGCCCCCUCUUUUGGUUCUCCAAGAUUCACAUCUUGAAGCUUUGAACCUCACCCAAAGACCCUCAACCUUUAGUAUCUAAAACCCUAAAAGUUUCAUCCUUUGGUUGUUAUGGGAUUCACCAAGCUUACCCAACAAAUGGAUCAGGGAGUGUUUAAAACAUGUUUCAGAUCUGUCAAAAUCGUGUCACAUUUUGCCUUCAGAACCAAACAUGCAUUCGGCAUCAGAAAUCGUGACACGGUUGCCAAAUCGUGUCAUGAUUCUUCACUUUCAUAAAGACUUAAUUUUGAGUCAUAUAUAUACCAACAAAUUCAAAUUAUAUAAAUGGACGGUAUAUUCUUUAGUAAAAGUAUUAUUUCACAAUUUAAUACGUAUUAUUAAAAGAAAUUAGAAACAAUUAUCAAAAAAUUAUGAUAGAUAAUAUAUUAAACUCGUCUAGUGUGUGUGUAUUUUUGAAGGAUAGUGUGUGUGUGUAUUAACAUCAUUCUCUAAUUAUUUUUGUAGGGAAACAAUGUUGGUUAAAUUGAUGUGUACUUUUUUUUGUAAAAAAUAAUCGACGUAUUUUUAAAUGAGAUUUACAUGUAGAGAGAGACAGCGGUAGACAUAGUAGUAGAACAAUUAAAAUUUAAAAGACCACUUUACAAAUUGCACCAAGUGGUCCUCUAAAAAAGAUCACCGACAGUUGCUUCACUUUACCUUCAUAUAUUUUAGAGCAAUGAUAUUUGAACAAUUAUUUAGUACAACAUUUUUUGACAAUCUUCUUUUUCUCUCUUUUUAUUGGUCAAAAAUAAUGAAGAGAAAAAAGAAGAGAUAGAGUAAAAAUAUAAUAUGAAUAUGAGAAAAAAAAUUGUCUAAAAAUUAUCACAAAAUGGUUGUACAAAUAUUAUUUCUCCAUAUUUUAGACACAGGCUAAUCAUUAAUUAAUUUGUGUAAAAAAAAACAAUAAUAUUAUUUUGACAACAUUAUUCAACACCUUAUCUUUCUUUCAAAAAACAUUAUUCAACACCUUAUGUUCAUAUUAUCAUUUGAUUUUCUUAAUUAUGUUUUACAUCAGUCACAUCAAGUGACAUUUUACACGCUUAUCAAUUUUUUUUGUCAAGUAGCCUAGUGUUUAGAACUCAUAUAAUUUAAUUGUGAAGAAAUGAAGUGUCAGAGAUUCGAACUCCAACCCCUGCAUAUAAUAUGCAAUAUCCCUACCAACUGAACUAAGCUCACGAAGAUCGCGGUUAUCAAUUUUUGUAGUUCAAAUAACAUCACUAAAAAAAGCUACGAGGCAGACGCACAAAUUUUCAUUGAGCAGUUGUGUUAAUUAAUUUUAUAACGCAAGGAAAAUGGUGAAGUUUUUGUGAAUAGAGAAAUGAUAUAUAUACAAUCAUUUUCAAACAACUUUUGUAAUAACUUUAUCUCUCAUUUUUAUAUUUUAUUUUUAUUUUUUUCUCUAUUAUUUUGGUUUUCGUUUAUGAUUUUUUGUAAGAAAAUGAUUGUCUAUGUAGUUAUCAAUCACAUUGAUGUUCAAAUAACAUUGCUUUUGUGAAUAAUGCAAAAUAGUUUCUCGGAACAAUCAAUUAUUCAAUUGAUAUUUACGAAAUUAGUUUUUGUAGGGUGUCCCUAUAAAUCACAUAUACUUUAAAACAGUCAUAUGUAUUCACGAUUCGAGAUCUUAUAAAAAAACCAUUCCAGAUCAUGUAUGAAAAUGAAAUAUAUAUUUUUUUUGACUGGUGUAUGAAAAUGAAAUAUUUUCAAAAAUAAAAUAUACUCUCUGCCCAUAUAAUGUCAGCGUAGGUGUCGGUGUUUUUCUACCGACUAUAAGAAAAACUGUAAAAUAAAUAAAACAAUAUAGUAAUUUAAAUUAGUGAUUGUAAAUUAUUGUCUUAAAUGUAUAGUUCAAUAUAAUAGAUUAAAAAUGAUGAAAAAAAUAUUAAUUUAAGAGUAGAAUUGAAAUAACAUAUAUGUUUUCGAUAGUUUAACUAAAUUGAUAAAGACAUUGCAUAAUAAUAUACAAGUGUUUUGAAAUUCCAUUUAUUCAUUACAUGUGAAUUUUUAGAUAUUAAACUAUUUGGAAAAUAAAAUAAAAUAUCAAAUAAUUAAGGUUUAAAUAUGUAAGUAGUCCCUGUAAUUUCGCGUAUUUUUGUUUUCGUUCCUGUAAGUUAUUUUGUUCUAAAACAAACUCUGUAUUUUGCUAACCUUUUGGAAAAGGUCCUUGCCGUCAGCUUCCGUCAACAAAAACGCCAUGGUGGCUAACGGAGCACACGUGGCAGUUCAUGAGUUGGCAAAGUUGAUGAGAUGGAAUGAGAGAUGAUAAGUUGUUAAAAUACAGGGACUAAAAUCAAAAACGUAAAUUGACACAGGGAUGAAAUUAAAAAAACGUUUAAUCUUCUUUUUCCUCUCAAAUUUCAGUCUUCUUCUUCCUCUCAAACUUUCCCCAAUCUAUCCCAUACCUUGCGCCCUUGAACCAAAACUCAUAUCCUUCAACAAUUUAUUCUAAUUCCAUUACUCAAUCAUAUUGUGUGUUUUGAUUGUAAUGUUAAGUUGAAACAUUGUAUGCUACUUAAGUUUGAUUAAUUUAGUGAUGGUUGUUGCGAUUGAUUGCAAAUUCAUUCAUAAAGUUUGUAGAUAAUAAAGGCAAGAAUACAUCUUUUUCAUCCCUCUUUUUUUUCCACAAUUCCCUCUUAUUCUUCCAGAUUGCUACAAUUACCAUACAUAAAUAGUCAGAUCCCCUUUCAUCUUUUCUCACUCACAUUCAAAUUCAAACUCUAAUUUCUCAAAUUUUUGCUUUUGAAUUGUGUAAUUUUGUGUUUUUAUGUAAUUGGUGUAGAGAGUUUAUGUUGUUUUAAUGUGUUGAUUAAGAGUGGGUCUUGUUGUUGUUGAUUGAUGAUUAUUAGUUUUGUUUAAAAAAAUAUAUAUGUUUGUUGUUUUCUUUCUUUUCCUGGGUUUGGUGUUGAUGAUUUAUGAAUAUGGUGAUGAAGAUGAAGAAGACAAUGAAGGAAGAAGAAGAAUAAGAUCUUGAUUUUAAAUUUGAAAUUUUGAUUUUACGUUUUUUAUUUUAGUCCCUGUGGUAAUUUACGCUUUUGAUUUUAGUCCCUGACUUUACACAACUAAUCAUCUCUCAUGCCAUCUCAUCAAAUGUGCCAAGUCAUGACCUGCCACCUGUGCUCCGUUAGCCACAAUGGCGUUUUUGUUGACAGAAGCUGAUGGUAAGGACCAUUUUCAAAAGGUCAAAAAGAUACAAGGUUUAUUUUAUAUAAAAAAAAAAACUUACAAGGACGAAAACAAAAAAUACGCGAACUUAGAGGAACCUUUUACAUAUUUAAGCCAAUAACUAAUAGCACUUAUUUUGGUACAUUUCUCUUUUGCAAAUGUGAAACUUAAUAUUGGAUGGGGUCAAUAAUUUUGAGAAUGAAUAAACCCAUUAUUUAGUCUUUUAAUUUUUUUUUUCCAUCCAUCAGGUUUCUAAACUAUUUACAAACACUAAAUGUCCUUAAGACAUAGCUCAAGUAACAAUAUUGAUAUUGAGAAGUUGGAUAUUUUCAUCCGAGUUUGAACUCGAAUUCUUGCAAUUACGAGUGUGAAUUUCAGGUAAUUUAUAUCAAUUUAUCUGUAAACAAAAGGAGAUAUAUACGCGUAACAAAUAGGUCUAAUGCAAAUUAACAACUUAUUUUUAGUUUAUAAAAUAUAUGAAAUUUAAUCCUUUAGUCCCUAGUAUAUUUUAACAAUGGGCACUAAAGCAACAUAUAUUUCAUAUAUUUUAAAUACUACUACAUCUUUCCUUAUGUAUAAGCUCAUUUGACAUUUUCACAUAUAUUAAAAAAGUUAGUAGUGUCUUGACAAAAAAGAAGCUCCUUAGAGUUUCCUUAUGUAUAUUUUUUUAAACCGAAAAAAUUGUGUACAAAAAAUGACUAUUAUUACUAAAAAAAAUCUUUUGCAUAUAGAUGUGUUCAACAUUUAUUUUGCAAUUCUCAAGACAAAUCAGUGGUACAUCUUAAUAAGUGAUAUAUUUGUUAGGAAAAAAAAUUACUAUAUGUAUCUAGUUAUUUGCAAGACUAAUGAUUCUUAGCAAAUAUGCUUAUAUUGAGAGAACUUUUUUCUAAAGAGAGCUUAUAAUUAGAGACUAAGAUUUUGCCAAAAAAUAAAGAAAAAUUAGAGAAUAAGGUUUAUACUAUACUUUAGAAACUAAUUUGAUGAGAUACGACUAAAUCGAAGAUAUAUUUUUUUAGAAUAGUGUUAGAACCUUAGAAAUUAUAAUCAAUAGAAAUAGAAAUGUUCCUUACAGAUCCAUAAUAGUGACAAUCUUGUCUUUUCUUUUGAGGAAAUAAUAAUAAAGGUGGUGCCAACAUUUCAACAAACCUAGCUAUUUUAAUUAUUCUGUUCUCACAGCCUGCACCUUAGAUCAAAUCCAAAUUGGGUCAUCACCGUUCCAAAAUGCUUAGGGACGUUACUCUAAAUGUCAAUAUGAAUGAGUAAUUCAAAUAGUUAACAUAGCCCGCCAGCCUUAUAUAAUAAUAUCAAUAUAUGUCGACUAAUUAUCGAGAUGCUAAAUUGGAGUACACUUCACAAACAAAAAUCUUUCAUAAGGCGUUUUUUCUCUUAAUACAUUUUUUCUUUUCUUAUGCUAGUAACAUUUACUCUGUAUUGGCCUUCCUAAGAAGAAGUUGGAUAGUAGCAAUGUGUUCGUGAGACUGCUGAUAUCUUAAAAGAAUGUUCUCAUAGAUUCCACUUUUUUAGUAAGCUUUUAUGUGUAUGAGUUUGCAAAUUUAACCCUUUUUAAUUCGGAUAGAUUUAUAAGUCACACCUUCAAGUACAAUCGACAAAAUUUCAGUAAUAAUUACGGUUUAGGGUUUAUGGGUCUAGAUCUACUAAAAAUGAGUGGGUGUAUAAAUUAGUAUAUCCUAGAGUUUAUUAUCUUACGUUCGAUCUUCUUUGCAGAAACUCGUGCAUGUUCGUGAUAUAUAUUUUCGCGAGAAGUACAUUUCCCUAAAACAAAAUCAACCACUGACAUAAACACGUCAAAUGUAAGCCGGUAAAUCCAAGCUUUACUAACACGAGUUAUAUUAUAUCAUUGGCAUCAGCUACUUAAGAACUACUGUAGAAAAUUUACAGCAAGUCAUCGAGGCUUAAUAAAAUGUGUUGAUAUAGUUACAAAGAUAAAUUAAAUAGCAGAGCAUACAUGAAGAGAACAAAUGUAGAGCAACCCCUUAAACAAACCCUCUCAGUAAGGUAUCUUCACAUUACUCUAAGUUCAUAAAAGAUGACUUUAAAAACGAUUAUUUCAAAAUGCAAGUAUUCUCCGACCCCUUUUUCCCGGAUCUAGAUCUAAUAGUGUAAGGAUAUAUAUAAAUCAUUGUCACAUUUUACAACUCAAGAGUUUACCUCAACUCGUUUUGUUUAGGUAAAUUCGACUCGAGAACUCGUAUGACUUUACCUAAAAUUAAAAUUAUAUAAAAUUUAUUAUAUAUGCAUGACAUAUGUAAGUUAAUAUAAUAUUGUAAAUAGGUCAAUAGUGCAAAAUAUGACUUAAUUACAAAGACAAAUUAUACCAUAAUAAAAUGUUAUGCUCAACUUAGCUUCAAAAUACAAAAAUUAACGCACAAAAUCAUAAGUCUCUAAGUUUAAGCCAUCCAUAAAACCAUCCAAAAAAAGAAAGUUUCACAAGUUCCUAAAGUUAUUAAUAAAACUAUCUAAAAAAUAAAGUAGUUAAUUUCUUCAAAACGUCAACAAACACCACCACAACAACCCUAACCAGUGUCACAAUCACCGGCGUUGAAAUAUGAAUUUCCACCGUCUGAAUCACAACCCUAAAUGGUAUGUGCUCCCCUGUUCAUGGUUUGAGAACUUAGAAAAGAAAAAGGGCAAUCCGGUGCACUAAAGCUCCCACAUACGCAGGGUCCGGGAAGGGGUCCCACCAUUUUUUGUGUAUUGUACGCAACCUUACCCUGUUUUUGAUCACAAAAGAAAAAGAAACGUUUCAUUUUAGGAACAACUUGUCACUGUAAAGGUAACUAUUAAUUAAACGUUUCAGUCUUUGGGGUUGUAGAAAAGGAAUUGGAUUUUGAAAAAAAUGGGCACAUAAAAAGGGCCAAUUUUUAGAUGUAAACUCGUAAAACUCAGUAAACUCGGUCGAGUUUACACGAGUUUACCUAGUGUUAACUCGGUCAAACUCGUUAAACCUUCCAAUUUUACCAGAAACCGAGUUUACCUCCGAAUUAACAUGAUUUUGGCACCUACGUAAACUCGAAGAGUUAACACUCAAUUUGCGGAACAUUGCAUAUAUAUUUAAAGAUAUAUGUAUAAUUAUAGAGAAAGUAGAGAAGGGAUAUACCAUUUUAUGUAGGGUUAUUAUGUAUCAAAUCAUAAAGAGUCGAGAGUUGUAUUAUACCAUAAUAUUCUUCCGUAAACUGGUAGUCAUGAUCAUGACGUAUAUUAUUCAAGUAUAUGCAAAAACAUGUCUGUAUCUAGUCUAAAUUUUUGACCAAAUGCAUGUAUUUGCUUAUAUUUUGUUACUACUUACUACUCGCCAAGUAAUGCUCAAUAUCUAAUAUAUAUAUUUCAAGACCAUCAAAGAUAACUCAGUUGAACAAUACAUAAUAUAUGCAAGGUUCGGGGUAUAUUACAUUUUCAAUUAUUCUAAUAAUAAAUUUAAAUGACACUUAAAUUAUACAACUAUUAAAUAGAUCUUAGUACCGUAAAAUUUAUAUUCGAGACUUGCUAGGGAGAACCAUCAACCUCAACAAAAAUUUCUACUUGAAUCUAACGCAAACAAAAGGUCCAACCAUCUAUGAAUCUCCGUUGAUAUCACAAAUGAUGUUUGAUACAAGAGAGACAUAUUAGAACAUAAUCUAUGUACAAUCUACAUUAAAAUAAAAAACAAGUCUACAGUCAUAUAAAUAACACAAUUUCAAAAUCUCAAAAUUAGGUAUGAAAACAAAAUGAUUAGAAAAAUAAAUGAUUCAAUCAUUCCGAGAUUUGUGCAAAAAAAAAAAAAAAAACAUUUUGAAAAUACAAUGUUAGAAACUUAUGAUCAAUAUAUAUUUUUCCUUACACAUCAAAAAUAAUUAAGCUAUAUUCUUGUCUUUUCAUUUUGGGCAAACUAAAAUUAAAAUCAAGGUAGUGUCAAUGUUUCUAUAGUCCUAGCUAUUUGAUUUUCUUCUAAGCUAACAAGAGUCUUCCAAAAUCAAAUUCGCGCUCAAAAUUAAAGCAACUUGGGUGGUAACCAUUCCAAAAUACUUAGGGCCACAUUGCUCUAAAAGUCAAUAAGAAUAAGUAAUAAUUCAAAGAUAGCCAACCUUAUAGUAUAUUUUAAUAUGAAUGUAUGCAUGUUUCCUAGAAGGUGAGUAAGCUAACUAAUCAAGAUACUUUGUUGGAGUUAAAUAUGGUAAAGAAUCCAACUAUAAAAUGGGGACUUGCCCCAGCAUUCUUUCACAAACCAAAACCAACUUCUAAGAAAAAAAUGAGGUCCCUAAUGGCCUCUGCUUCUCUCACUCUUGCAUUAGCCAUCCUCUUUUUGAGUUUCCCAUCUGAAAUUUCAGCAAACAAAUACGCAUAUUCCUCUCCACCACCACCACAUUACUCAUCUCCUCCACCUCCACCGGUUCACACUUACCCUAAACCAGUCUACCACUCUCCACCACCACCAGUUCACACCUACCCUAAACCAGUUUACCACUCUCCACCACCACCAGUUCACAAGUACCCUCACCCUAAACCAGUAUACCACUCUCCACCACCCCCAGUUCACAAGUACCCUCAUCCACACCCAGUCUACCAUUCUCCACCACCCCCAGUUCACAAGUACCCCCAUCCUCACCCAGUGUACCACUCUCCCCCACCACCACCACCAAAGAAGUCCUACAAAUACCCAUCUCCCCCACCACCACCAGUUCACACCUACCCUAAACCAGUCUACCACUCUCCUCCACCCCCAGUUCAUCACACCUACCCUAAACCAGUCUACCACUCUCCUCCACCCCCAGUUCACACCUACCCUCACCCUAAACCAGUCUACCACUCUCCACCACCCCCAGUUCACACUUACCCUAAACCAGUCUACCACUCCCCACCACCACCAGUUCACACCUACGUCCCUCACCCUAAGCCAGUCUACCACUCUCCACCACCACCAGUUCACACCUAUCCCCCACAUGUUCCCCACCCAGUUUACCAUUCUCCUCCUCCUCCAGUUCAUUCCCCACCUCCACCACACUAUUACUACAAAUCACCUCCUCCACCUUACCACAACUAGAUAGCCCAUAAUUGGCAUCACACCAUAUGGUAACUUUUCAUGCAACAUAUAUAUUAUAACUUUUCAUAUUCUCUCUUUAUUAACUAGUUAUCGGUAUGAUUGUCGAGUAUAUACUAACAAGGCUAAUUUGAAAUGAAACUUCAUGUGCAAUGAAACAUUCUUUUACUGGUUAAUAUUUUAUUCUAUGUUUCAUUGAAAUUAAUAUUUUUCUAAUAGUAUUUGGUUAUUAAGGGAUUAGAGUAUAUCAGACAUAAACUGACAGAUCAAUAUAUUUGC
rnacentral:lncRNA from 1 species